rnacentral:tRNA from 1 species
GCCUGGGUGGCUCAGUCGGUUGGGCGUCUGACUUCAGCUCAGGUCAUGAUCUCACAGUCCGUGAGUUCGAGCCCCGCGUCGGGCU